GACGAACGCUGGCGGCGUGCUUAACACAUGCAAGUCGAACGGAAAGGCCCUGCUUUUGUGGGGUGCUCGAGUGGCGAACGGGUGAGUAACACGUGAGUAACCUGCCCUUGACUUUGGGAUAACUUCAGGAAACUGGGGCUAAUACCGGAUAGGAGCUCCUGCUGCAUGGUGGGGGUUGGAAAGUUUCGGCGGUUGGGGAUGGACUCGCGGCUUAUCAGCUUGUUGGUGGGGUAGUGGCUUACCAAGGCUUUGACGGGUAGCCGGCCUGAGAGGGUGACCGGCCACAUUGGGACUGAGAUACGGCCCAGACUCCUACGGGAGGCAGAAGGGGGGAAUAUUGCACAAUGGGCGGAAGCCUGAUGCAGCAACGCCGGGUGCGGGAUGACGGCCUUCGGGUUGUAAACCGCUUUCGCCUGUGACGAAGCGUGAGUGACGGUAAUGGGUAAAGAAGCACCGGCUAACUACGUG
rnacentral:rRNA from 1 species